GGGGUGGUAGGUUGGUCAUGCCCCUGGUAUGUACUGGUCUCACUGAUUCCUCCUUCCUGAUGAACCUUAAUGCCAUUAAUUUGGUGUUUUGGGGAAUUUGGGCUGUUACUUUGAAAAAAUUAGAGUGUUUAAAGCAAGCUAACGCUUGAAUACAUUAGCAUGGAAUAAUGAAAUAGGACGUUCGAUCCUAUUUUGUUGGUUUCUAGGAUGGACGUA
rnacentral:rRNA from 1 species